rnacentral:lncRNA from 1 species
GGGGGGCAGCCUGCUACCCAUCUGGUCCUAACCCAGCCCAGAGGCCUGGGCGCCCCGUGCCAGUGUGCCGACUUUUCCUCUUGCUGGAGUUUUAAUCUCAUCUGCCAACUGCAGAGCUUCCGAGAGAUUCCCUGGCCCCCAAACCCCCCCACCCCCCGAUGUUUACACACAUGUGCUUUUUUCAUCAGGACCUCAGGCUCUUAAGACGGCCCUGCAACACCCCCCCGCCCCCCCCCCCCACUGAUCUCUGGGCGGUGGGGCCUGGCAUCUCACAGGUGUGAACGGGCGUGGAUAAUCCCUGCCGGCACCCCUCCGCCUGCCCUUCCGGGAGCCUGGGCUCGCACGGGCGGAAGCAGAGGGGGGGAGAGCUGACCGUGCGGCUUCCCUUUCUGCUGGGAGGAUGGCAGCGAGCGCAGGCCUUGCUCCGAGCUGCAGCAGCGCCUGCGGCUGGUACAGCCAUUGUCUGCGAUGAUAGAUGUUUUGAGGCAUCUGGGAAAGAAGAGUAAGAAAAACAAGCUGCAGUGACGUUAUGUUGCAUUUAAGAUGUGCCGAAAGAGACUUCGAAUUGACCUAGAGGACAGUUAAAAACCACCUAAGAAGGGGCUGAGUGCCCUGAGGGGCUUUAGAAAGGCUGCCCUGCUGGGCGCGCUGCCAGAGGCCGGUCUAGGGUGGACGGGAGCCCCCAGCGCAGCACAUCCGUCGGGGCGAAGGUCGUUCAGCAGAGACUCCGUUCGUCCGUCAGAUUCUCUGGCGAGACCUCACCACCCUGGCUCCUUCUGGCUCCCGUGAGGCCCCAGGAGACGUCGGACGGACUCAGGCCUUCACCCCCGUCCCGGCUCGCUGGGGCCCAGCCCGUCCCUGCUCCGCAAACAGCUCCUCACUCGCGGUCUGUCGGUGUGAACACAGGAUUGCUCUUCAGUGCGAGACAACAGGGGCCUCGGCGUGGGGCCCCGCCCAAGACCAGAGCUGCGGCCUUGCGUCUGUCAUCGCGUGGGAGCGGCGGGUAUUCGAUGACAGCCCUUAAAGGCAUUUGAAAGGCCUUCAGGGAGCAUGGACGUGACGCUGUCGGCGCGGGGUGUCCACGGGAAACCUCAGAACUGGCUCCAGUAAGCGACCAGCUGGGGCCCCGGCUGCUGCUGCUGCUCUGCCUGUGCUGGAGAAACCGUGAAGGUUUUGAUUGACGAGGAAGGUGGAAGAGGAACCGCCUACUCGGACGCCUUCAUUUUACAGAUGCGCGUGUUGGGGUGAAACGCUCGCCUCUCACCAGCAAGGUCACACGAAGAGCAGGUAAGGGCUGGUCCUGGGGCCGCCACUACCUCCACUGCUGACUUUCCGGGUGGUGAGUUCCAGAUGACAGCUCAGAUGUGGACGCUCUCUGUGGAUCAGGAAGAAACAACUAAUCUUGGCUUGACUCUCAUCAUUCAUUGAGCCUCCUGGCUGUUCCGUGCUCUUCUAAAAGUCUUUGCACAGAGCAAGGCAGACGCUCCCUCCGGUCUCCACUAUCAAGACCUCGGAAGCUCAAGGGUCAAGAGGGGACUGCGGCGUGACCCGCAGUGAUGCAGCGCGAGGGGUGAGAUGGAGGGGGGUCCAGUGCCCCAGGGCUAGUGUGGCGCGAGCAGAGCACAGCCGUCCUCCUGAGAGGAAAGUUGGAGGUAACCUGCUCCUUCAUUUCAACUGAUAUUAAAAGUUAGAGUAACCAAAAUAGUACGGUAUUUUUGACAUAAAAAGACAACAGCCCGGAAAUAAACCCACACACAUCUAGUCAAUUGAUGGCAAAGGAGCCAAGAAUAUACAAUGGAGCCAGGACAGUCUCCAAGAAAUAAUCCUGGGAGAGCAGGACAGCCACUUGCCAAAGGACGAAGCUGUGAUCUUACACCAUACAUAAAAAUUAACUCAAAGUGGACAAAAGACUUAAACUUUAGACCUGAAACCAUAAAACUCCUAAAAGAAGAACACAGAUGGCUGUUUCCUUGACAUUGAUCCUGGCGAUGAUAUUUUGGAGUUGACACCACAGACAAAGGCAACAAAAGUAAAUAUAAACAAAUGGGGCUCCAUCAAACUAAAAAGCUUCUGCAAAGCAAAGGACGCCAUCAAUGAAAUGAAAAGGCCACCUCCAGAAUGGGAGAAAACAUUCACAAAUCAUAUAUCUGAAGGGGUUAAUACCAAAAUGAUACGAAAUGAUAAAGAAAUGAUACGACCCAAUACCAAAAAAAUCACUCCUAUCAACAAAUGGGCAGAGGACCUGACUGGACGUUUUUCCAAAGAAGACAAGGCAGACAGUCCACAGGCACAUGAACAGGUGCUCGGCAUCACCAAUCAUCCGAUGCAGAAAAACCACAAGUUACCGCCUCACACCUGUUAGGACGGCUCUUAUCAAAACGACAACAAAUAAUGAACGUUAGUGAGCCUCUGAAAAGGGAACCGUGUGUGACUGGUGGGAAUGAACACUGCUGCAGCUGCAGUGGAGAACAGCACGGAGGUUCCUCAAAAAAGGACAAAUAGAACCACCACGUCGUCGAGCAGUCGUGUUUCUGGGUACUUACCUGAAGGAACGAAAACCACCAACUCAAAAAGAUACCUGUGCCCCGACGUUCACUGCAGCCUUAUUCACAGCAGCCGAGAGGCGGAAGCAACCUGUGUCCACUGACACCUACAGCCAUGCAAUACGGGUGUGAGGGCACUGAUUCACCCACAAAAAGAAGUCUCACUACUGCGACAACACGGAUGGGCGUGGAGGACACGCUGAGUGAAAUAAGUCAGACAAGAAGGACAAACUGUACAAUCCCCCUUGAAAACAAAAUGAACUCGAGUUCCCGUCGUGGUGCCUUGGAAACGAAUCUGACUAGGAACCAUGAGGUUGCGGGUUCGAUCCCUGGCCUUGCUCAGUGGGUUAGGGGUCCGGCAUUGCCAUGAGCCGGGGUGUAGGUCAUAGACGUGGCUCGGAUCCUGUGUUGCUGUGGCUGUGGUGUAGGCCGGAGGCUGCAGCCCCGAUGAGACCCCCUAGACUGGGAACCUCCAUAUGCCACAGGUGCGGCCCUAAAAAGCAAAAAACAAAACCUCAUAGCUAGAGAAAGAAAUUGGUACGGGGGGCGGUGGGUGGGUGAAAUGGGCGAAGGUGAUCAAAAGGUAUGAACUUUAUCGUAAAAUAAACCAUGCGGAUAUAAGGCUCAGUGGUUAUGACACUAUUAUUGCGUAUUUGAAAACUGCUAAGAGAAUAGAUCUUAAAAGUUCUCAUCACAAGAAAAAAUAUUUUGUAACUGUAUGCUAACGGAUGUUAACUAGAAUUAUUGUGAUCAUUUCACAAUACAUGUAUCAAGCCAUGUCACAUACUUGAAAAUUUAAUGUCAAUUACAUCUCGAUAAGAAAAUAAAAUUGUCUGGAAUUCCCAUCGUGGCGCAGUGGCUGACGAAUCCGACUAGGAACCAUGAGGUUGCGGGUUCAAUCCCUGGCCUUGCUCAGUGGGUUAAGGAUCUGGUGUUGCCGUGAGCUGUGGUGUAGGUCGCAGAUGCGGCUCGGAUCCCGUGUUGCUGUGGCUGUGGUGUAGGCCGGCAGCUACAGCUCCGAUUCGAGCCCUAACCUGGGAACCUCCAUGUGCCAUGGGAAGCGGCCCUAGAAAAG